CAGGAAGCCAGCAUUUUUAAUAAAUAGGAAGUAAAUUAUAUUUAAUGACUAAAUUCUCACCUAAAGUUGAUACUAAUAUUACGAUAACUCUCUUGUGCCUAUUUUGGUCUUUUAAACUUCUUUGCUGUACAUCUAAGAAAAUCAAAAUUUCAGUAGACUCCUCGUGCAGUCUGAGAAGGCAGUUUCCUAGCUGGUUUGAUUUAAGAGGCUCCAGAAGACAUUCUUAUCCCACAUAUUUCUUCUGCUGAUCAGUCAGCAACUGAAAUUCCAACUAAUGGAUUCCAUUCUUCCAGUUAAGAUAUCAUCUCCAGAAAACUGUGCUAGUUGGCAUCCAGCAGUGCCCAAGUAUUAUUUAACCCAUUAGAACCUGUGACUGCAUCAGCUUUAUAUCCUGGACCUCAGCCUGGAACAAAGGAGAGCUACACUUGGAUACUAAACACAAGUGGUCUGGAUAGAUUAUGCUGGGAAAAGAAGCCUGGAGUGGGCAGUACCGUGGGAGAGCAAGACAGAAGUGCUUGCCUUGGUGACCCAAAAAAGGCAGGAUCUGGCCGGGGCAAGGUGAUUAUUCUGUUUGAUGUGGAGAAUAAGGGCCAGUUUGUGGUACUGACAGAAGAAUGAAAGCAAAGUUCAACCAAUCUACAAAGGCCAAAAAUAUUUUCACAGGCCCCCAAAAGAUGAACUCCAAUCUGCUGCCCCUAAAUGCAUUCUCCACUGUCUGGAAGAUGUGCAAAGGCAACGGCACAGCGUUCUCCAUCUCAAAUCCUUCAAAGUGCUGUCAGAAUAAAAGAAUCCCCACCAAAAGCCCCAGGGAAAUCUAUCUGUCUGUAUGGUAUGGUAAUGACUGAGGUUAUUCCAGAUAGGAUUCUGGGAGAAACUCAGCUAUUGAAAUCUAAUGAAUGGAACUGAGAAUUUCUUGUUAUAAUACUGUUUCUUUGAUUGAAUAUAUCCUUGCAUAUAAGAAGACAUAAAAAUAAAUAAUAAAAGCAAGAUAUUGUUUGAA